UGUCCCGCACAUGUUAAUAGAGUUUUGAUAGAGCUUUUGCUCGUGUACCACAUCUGGUGGGCUAGGCUCGCUGAGCGGAAAUGCUUGGUGGGUUCGUCCACGAAUUGCAAUCAUUCAAUAUGAGCGGGGGUGAAUCCUUUGCAGACGACUUGAAUGGGAACGGGGUACUGUAAGCGGUAGAGUAGCCUUGUUGCUACGAUCCGCUGAGGUUAAGCCCUUGUUCUAUAGAUUUGU
rnacentral:ncRNA from 1 species